AGCAGCCGCGGUAAUUCCAGCUCCAAUAGCGUAUAUUAAAGUUGUUGUGGUUAAAAAUGCUCGUAGUUGAACCUUGGGCCUGGCUGGCCGGUCCGCCUCACCGCGUGUACUGGUCCGGCCGGGCCUUUCCCUCUGUGGAACCCCAUGCCCCUUCACUGGGUGUGGCGGGGAAACAGGACUUUUACUUUGAAAAAAUUUAGAGUGCUCCAGGCAGGCCUAUGCUCGAAUACAUUAGCAUGGAAUAAUAGAAUAGGACGUGUGGUUCUAUUUUGUUGGUUUCUAGGACCGCCGUAAUGAUUAAUAGGGACAGUCGGGGGCAUCAGUAUUCAAUUGUCAGAGGUGAAAUUCUUGGAUUUAUUGAAGACUAACUACUGCGAAAGCAUUUGCCAAGGAUGUUUUUCAUUAAUCAGGAACCGAAAGUUAGGGAUCGAAGACGAUCAGAUACCGUCGUAGUCUUAAACCAUAAACUAUGCCGACUAGGGAUCGGACGAUGUUAUUUUUUUCGACUCGUUCGGCACCU
rnacentral:misc_RNA from 1 species